rnacentral:rRNA from 1 species
GUAGGGAAUAUUGGACAAUGGGCGAAAGCCUGAUCCAGCCAUGCCGCGUGAAUGAUGAAGGCCUUCGGGUCGUAAAGUUCUUUUCUGAGGGAAGAAAAAUCUGGGGAGGAAAUGCUCCGGGUCUGACGGUACCUCAGGAAUAAGCAACGGCUAACUCCGUGCCAGCAGCCGCGGUAAUACGGAGGUUGCAAGCGUUGUUCGGAAUAACUGGGCGUAAAGGGAGCGCAGGCGGUCUCGUAAGUCUAAAGUGAAAUGCCAGGGCUCAACCUUGGACGUGCUUUGGAUACUGCAAGACUUGAGUACGUGAGAGGAGAGUGGAAUUCCAGGUGUAGCGGUGAAAUGCGUAGAUAUCUGGAGGAACACCGGUGGCGAAAGCGGCUCUCUGGCACGUUACUGACGCUGAGGCUCGAAAGCGUGGGGAGCGAACGGGAUUAGAUACCCCAGUAGUCC